rnacentral:rRNA from 1 species
UACGUAGGGUGCAAGCGUUAAUCGGAAUUACUGGGCGUAAAGCGUGCGCAGGCGGUUUUGUAAGUCUGUCGUGAAAUCCCCGGGCUCAACCUGGGAAUGGCGAUGGAGACUGCAAGGCUAGAGUUUGGCAGAGGGGGGUAGAAUUCCACGUGUAGCAGUGAAAUGCGUAGAGAUGUGGAGGAAUACCGAUGGCGAAGGCAGCCCCCUGGGCCAACACUGACGCUCAUGCACGAAAGCGUGGGGAGCAAACAGG